AAGAGGUGGCGCAUGGAUUUAAUCCUUAUCCCUUUUCUUAAUUCUUCUACGAUGAGUUUAAUACUCAGAAGGACUCUUAGGCACCUCCUAAGACAUCUGAAAUAUAUUCAUAGAAUAAAGGUUACAGAGAAAAAUAGGAUAGACCUUAUCUAAAGGUGGCGCCAACUCCAUCCAUGCGCCAUGUGGCUCAUUCGCAUGGAUUUAAAUCCACACGCCAAGAGAGAGACUCUUAGGCAUGUGGUUCCCUGGUUUUUGGCACCCAAC
rnacentral:lncRNA from 1 species